rnacentral:lncRNA from 1 species
AGAUAUAGCCUAUUUACAUGACUGGCCUAAUUGCAAGUAUAGCCUAUUUACACAACUAGUCUAAUUACAGACAUAGACAAACAAAUUACAAAAAUAGCUUAAUUGUAGAAGUAGCCUAUUAGGCUCAGAUAUGACUCUUUCCUUCAAUGACCAAAAUGGUCUACAUGUGAGUAGUAUCGUCAUUGCCUAUUUACAUAUCUCAACAC